UACGUAGGGUGCAAGCGUUGUCCGGAAUUAUUGGGCGUAAAGGGCUCGUAGGCGGUUUGUCGCGUCGGGAGUGAAAACCCAGGGCUUAACCCUGGGCCUGCUUCCGAUACGGGCAGACUAGAGGUAUGCAGGGGAGAACGGAAUUCCUGGUGUAGCGGUGAAAUGCGUAGAUAUCGAGAGGAACACCUGCGGCGAAGGCGGGUUGCUGGGCUGACACUGACGCUGAGGCGCGAAAGCUAGGGGAGCGAACGGG
rnacentral:rRNA from 1 species